rnacentral:lncRNA from 1 species
UUGGCUUAGCCAGUAGUCAGAAAGACGAAAGGGUAAAUAUCCUUCCUAGCUGGGAUGUUCAUGAAGUGAUAUGAUUAAAAACUAAAGAAUAGAACUUUUCAGUUAUAUGUAGAUUAUUGUGCAUUUGAAAUUCGAUUAUAUAAAUUAAUAUUUCCACAAUUGUUUGUAUGAUGCUCACUUUGUAAAAGCGUGGACUGUGUGACGAUGCCUUUUACAAUGCUGAUAAAACCAGACAUCAGUUAUAAAAGCUGAACAUCUCUUUAAUGUGUGUGUGUGUGUGUGUGUUUCAGCGUGGUCAGGUGCGGCGGCGGUAUGAGUCUCCAGGUGUGUGUUCAGAUGAUGAUGUGAACAGUGAUGCGUCGAGUGUGUGCUCUGAGCGAUCCUUCAGUUCUCGUAACGGGAGUGCGGCCCCACAUCACCUGCGCCAGACAGAGGACGUGGCGGAAAUCCUGAACCGCUGCGCCAGCGCUAACUGCACUGAGAGGAAAGAGGGACUGAUGAGCCUUCAGAACCUGCUGAAGAACCAGAGAGUGCUCAGUCGUGUGGAGCUGAAGCGCCUGUGUGAAAUCUUCACCAGGAUGUUUGCUGAUCCACACAGCAAGGUGUUCAGCAUGUUUCUGGAGACUCUGCUGGACUUCAUCUCUCUGCACAGAGAGGAUCUGCAG